GACGAACGCUGGCGGCGUGCUUAACACAUGCAAGUCGAACGGAAAGGCCCUGCUUUUGUGGGGUGCUCGAGUGGCGAACGGGUGAGUAACACGUGAGUAACCUGCCCUUGACUUUGGGAUAACUUCAGGAAACUGGGGCUAAUACCGGAUAGGAGCUCCUGCUGCAUGGUGGGGGUUGGAAAGUUUCGGCGGUUGGGGAUGGACUCGCGGCUUAUCAGCUUGUUGGUGGGGUAGUGGCUUACCAAGGCUUUGACGGGUAGCCGGCCUGAGAGGGUGACCGGACACAUGGGGACUGAGAUACGGCCCAGACUCCUACGGGAGGCAGCAGUGGAGAAUAUUGCACAAUGGGCGGAAGCCUGAUGCAGCAACGCCGCGUGCGGGAUGACGGCUUUCGGGUUGUAAACCGCUUUCGCCUGUGACGAAGCGUGAGUGACGGUAAUGGGUAAAGAAGCACCGGCUAACUACGUG
rnacentral:rRNA from 1 species